ACACAGUAGGAUAAGCUAACCGUACUGUUGGUUAUGUACGGCUAAGCAUUGAGGCAGUCUAAAUAGGCAAAUCCGUUUGGACAAUGCUAGGAUGUGAUGGGGAAACCCUCCGGGGCGAAGUAGCUGAUUUCACACUGUCAAGAAAAGCUUCUAUCGAGUUUAAAGGCGCCCGUACCGUAAACCGACACAGGUGGGUGAGGAGAGUAUCCUAAGGCCAGCGAGAGAACUAUUGUUAAGGAACUCGGCAAAAUGACCCCGUAACUUAGGGAGAAGGGGUGCCUGUCUAUGACAGGCCGCAGAGAAUAGGCCCAAGCGACUGUUUACCAAAAACACAGGUUUCUGCUAAGUCGCAAGACGAUGUAUAGGAGCUGACGCCUGCCCGGUGCUGGAAGGUUAAGGGGAUCUGUUAGAGCAAUCGAAGCAGUGAACUUAAGCCCCAGUAAACGGCGGCCGUAACGAUAACGGUCCUAAGGUAGCGAAAUUCCUUGUCGGGUAAGUUCCGACCCGCACGAAAGGCGUAACGAUUUGGGCACUGUCUCAACAAUAGACUCGGUGAAAUUGUAAUCCCGGUGAAGAUGCCGGGUACCUGCGACAGGACGGAAAGACCCCAUGGAGCUUUACUGUAGCUUGACGUUGGGUCUUGGUACUACAUGUACAGGAUAGGUGGGAGACUAUGAAGCAUGGACGCCAGUCUGUGUGGAGUCAUCCUUGGGAUACCACCCUUGUAGUACUGGGAUCCUAACCAUAGGCCUUGAAUCAGGUCUUGGAACACCGUCAGGUGGGCAGUUUGACUGGGGCGGUCGCCUCCUAAAAAGUAACGGAGGCGCUCAAAGGUUUCCUCAGCACGGUCGGAAAUCGUGCGAAGAGUGUAAAGGCAAAAGGAAGCUUGAUUGCAAGACAUACAGGUCGAGCAAGGACGAAAGUCGGACUUAGUGAUCCGGUGGUACCGCAUGGAAGGGCCAUCGCUCAACGGAUAAAAGCUACCCUGGGGAUAACAGGCUUAUCUCCCCCAAGAGUCCACAUCGACGGGGAGGUUUGGCACCUCGAUGUCGGCUCAUCACAUCCUGGGGCUGUAGUAGGUCCCAAGGGUUGGGCUGUUCGCCCAUUAAAGUGGUACGCGAGCUGGGUUCAGAACGUCGUGAGACAGUUCGGUCCCUAUCCGUCGCAGGCGUAGGAAAUUUGAGAAGACCUGUCCUUAGUACGAGAGGACCGGGAUGGACGUACCUCUGGUGUACCAGUUGUUCUGCCAAGGGCAUGGCUGGGUAGCUAUGUACGGAAUGGAUAAGCGCUGAAAGCAUCUAAGCGCGAAGCCAACUUCAAGAUAAGAUUUCCCACCGUAAGGGUAAGACCCCAGGAAGACUACCUGGUUGAUAGGUCGAAGGUGUAAGUGCAGUAAUGUAUUUAGCUUAUCGAUACUAAUAGGUCGAGGACUUGACCU
rnacentral:rRNA from 1 species